rnacentral:rRNA from 1 species
CACGUAGGCACCAAGCGUUGUCCGGAUUUAUUGGGCGUAAAGAGCGUGUAGGCGGCCAUACAGGUCCGUUGUGAAAACUGGAGGCUUAACCUCCAGACGUCGAUGGAAACCGUAUGGCUAGAGUCCGGAAGAGGAGAGUGGAAUUCCUGGUGUAGCGGUGAAAUGCGCAGAUAUCAGGAAGAACACCCGUGGCGAAGGCGGCUCUCUGGUACGUGACUGACGCUGAGACGCGAAAGCGUGGGGAGCGAACAGG